UUUUAAUGGUCAAAGUUUUUUCAAGAACUUAAAUUAUCACCAGAAGUUGAGAAAAUAAAUAUAGU
rnacentral:sRNA from 1 species